rnacentral:hammerhead_ribozyme from 1 species
AUCAAGCUGACGAUUCCCAAAUAGGACGAAGCGCGCGUCCUGGAU